rnacentral:rRNA from 1 species
UACAGAGGUUGCACGCGUUGUUCGGAAUUACUGGGCGUACAUGGCGCGUAGGCGGUCUUCUAAGUCUUGUGUGAAAUCCCUCGGCUCAACUGAGGAACUGCACGGGAUACUGGAAGACUUGAGUUCGGGAGAGGGAAGCGGAAUUCCGGGUGUAGCGGUGAAAUGCGUAGAUAUCCGGAGGAACACCGGUGGCGAAGGCGGCUUCCUGGACCGAUCACUGACGCUGAGGCGCGAAAGCUAGGGGAGCAAACGGG